UAAAAAAAAAAAAAAAAACAUAAAAAAGUAGACAGAUUAAGAAAGACAUUACAAUUAAGAAAGCCCAAAUUGUCAGUGGCAAAAUAAAAAUAUUAAGCUAUGGUGACACUACAAAAUACUCAAAUUUAGUUUUCAUAUAUGUUUUUAUUAUUUACGUGACAAUAAUUUCAUACAAAGUACUUUAUUCCCUCAGUGACAAUUUCAUACAAAGUACUUUGUACCCUCAGUAACAACAGAG